CAGCAGCCGCGGUAAUACGAAGGGUGCGAGCGUUAAUCGGAAUUACUGGGCGUAAAGCGUGCGCAGGCGGUUUGUUAAGACAGAUGUGAAAUCCCCGGGCUUAACCUGGGAACUGCAUUUGUGACUGGCCGGCUAGAGUAUGGCAGAGGGAGGUGGAAUUCCACGUGUAGCAGUGAAAUGCGUAGAUAUGUGGAGGAACACCGAUGGCGAAGGCAGCCUCCUGGGCCAAUACUGACGCUCAUGCACGAAAGCGUGGGGAGCAAACAGGAUUAGAUACCCCCGUAGUCCCUGUCUCUUAUAC
rnacentral:rRNA from 1 species